GACAGAGGAUGCAAGCGUUAUCCGGAAUGAUUGGGCGUAAAGCGUCUGUAGGUGGCUUUUAAGUCCGCCGUCAAAUCCCAGGCUCAACCCUGGACAGGCGGUGGAACUACCAAGCUGGAGUACGGUAGGGCAGAGGGAAUUUCCGGUGGAGCGGUGAAAUGCGUAGAGAUCGGAAAGAACACCAACGGCGAAAGCACUCUGCUGGGCCGACACUGACACUGAGAGACGAAAGCUAGGGGAGCGAAUGGG
rnacentral:rRNA from 1 species